rnacentral:misc_RNA from 1 species
UUAAGUUCAGCGGGUAUCCCUACCUGAUCCGAGGUCAACCGUGAGAGGUUGGGGGUUGCUGGCAAGUAACCGUCGGAACCCUAUAGCGAGAGAAUUACUACGCUUAGAGCCAGACGGCACCGCCACUGAUUUUAAGGGCCGCGAGACCGCGGAACCCCAAUACCAAGCCGAGGCUUGAGUGGUCAUAAUGACGCUCGAAC